rnacentral:tRNA from 1 species
GCGCCGAUAGUCUAGUGGUUAGGACUUGGGCCUUCCAAGCCUACAACCCGGGUUCAAAUCCCGGUCGGCGCA